GACGAACGCUGGCGGCGUGCCUAACACAUGCAAGUCGAGCGGAGACAGAUUUGAGCUUGCUUAGAUCUGUUUUAGCGGCGGACGGGUGAGUAACGCGUGAGCAACCUUUCUCUCAGUGGGGAAUAACACAGGGAAACUUGUACUAAUACCGCAUAAGCGCACAGCAUCGCAUGAUGCAGUGUAGAAAAACUCCGGUGGUAUGAGAUGGACCCGCGUCUGAUUAGCUAGUUGGUGGGGUAAAAGCCUACCAAGGCGACGAUCAGUAGCCGGCCUGAGAGGGUGAACGGCCACAUUGGGACUGAGACACGGACCCAAACUCCUACGGGGAGGCAGCAGGUGGGGAAUUAGUUGGGCAAUGGGGGAAACCCUGACCCAGCAACGCCGCGUGGAGGAAGAAGGUUUUCGGAUCGUAAACUCCUGUCCUCAAGGAAGAGCAGAAGACGGUACUUGAGGAGGAAGCCCCGGCUAACUACGUG
rnacentral:rRNA from 1 species